CUGUCCUGGUGCUGCCCCAGUGGUCGGUUCCCAGCUCAGCACUCUGCUGUGGGUGUGAUUUGGGCAGGCUGGGGACCAAGGCCACCAUCUGACCCCAGUGGCACCGUGCUGUGAGCUCUGCUGGAAGAUAUACGUGGGGCACAGUCCUCCAGCCUGGCUCACAACUCAAAAAGCACUUGGUGGAGGUAAAUGGAGAGGGAAGAGUAAUGAUUCCAGCCCUAGGGGCAGUGCAAGCUAUCUCUGGACUGAACCUGGGACAAUUAAUACCUCCAAGAUAGGCCUAAUGGAUUGUUUGAGAUUUGGGGCUGCAAAGUACAAUCAAAAGCCAAGUGUUUGACUGUUGUUAUAAUUGCCACCAGGCUCCUUUUGAAGCCCCACGCAAAGAAAUAGAGAGACCUGAGCCAUCAAUAAUAUCGCUGGAGGAGAAAAUUGAAGGGAUAUCUGCCCAAUUAAAUAACCUACAGGGCUGGAAUUGAGAAUCAAUGUGGCAUGAACGAUGAGGUGUGGACUGCUGCUGCUGAGCACUAAAUCCACCACAGCCUCUGGUUUAACCCAAGGAGAGGGAUGGGAGCGCUGCUGCAGCCAGGACUGCCCAGGCUUGGAGUGGCCACUGCAGGAGGCAGGAGGUGGCUGGAGAAUGGCUUGGCAUCAUUAUCCUGUGGGCUGGGACACAGUAAAGUCGUGGAUCUUCAGAGCUCAGGACACAUCACUGGCUGGCAACGCUGGGACAGUCCUGCCCAAACGUCACCCGAGCAGAGAGGGCCCUCUGUCUCCAUGGAAGUGGGAUUCCAUCAUCUGGGCACCUUUCCAGUGGGUAUUAAGGCACAUUCAGCCUGGCAUCGCUGAGGGACAAGCAGGGAUGCAGCCUCCACGGCAGCUCUGCAGCCCACAGCAGCAUCCAGGCAUCACUCCCUGCAGGAAUGCUUGCCAUGGUCUUGGAGCACUGCUGAAAACCUGUCCCAGCAGAAGCCCACAGGGAAGGACCUGUCCUGGAGUCACGGGAAAAGCUCCUGAACAAAACCAAGCCCUGAAUUCUCCGCUGAGCUGGAAGCACAUGCCCAUCCUCCCUGACUGGGUUUCAAGGCUGCAGCUGAGCAGAUGGACAAGGGAUCCAGUUGGGGUGAAGGUGCUGAGCUCCCCUCUGCUGACUGAGGAUCCAGUCCUGAGCCCAGGGUGCAACUAAUCUGAACUCCAGAAUCCAUUUCAAGCAAACUCCAUCUCGGGGCUUUGGAUGCUGCAGCAACAAGGCAAAGGAUCCGUGCAGGGGGUGGUCUGAGAGUGCCCAACCUCGUCACACACAGGAUGCUUCAGUGCCAACAUCUGGUGUUUUUCAGAGGGACUCCGGAAGGGAAGGAGCAUCCUGCCCCUGACAUCUCCACUGAGCCAUAUUAUUAGUUUUGGUGAUUAAAUCGAAGCCCAUUUGCAGGUGACAAUGCUGUAAAAAUAAGUAGGUACCAGAGCCGACAUUGUGAAAACGAGGCAGGAGCACAGAGCUCAGGCAGCAUACAUAAUCCGUGGGGAAAUAAGUGUGUGAAUAAUGAAUGGGCACUGGAAAAAUAAAAUACAUUAUUGUGGUAAAGAUAAGUCUAUUAAA